rnacentral:rRNA from 1 species
GAUGAACGCUGGCGGCGUGCCUAAUACAUGCAAGUCGAACGACAGCACCUGGUGCUUGCUCCUGUCACUCUAGUGGCGAACGGGUGAGUAACACGUGGGUAACCUCCCCAUCAGAGGGGGAUAACAUUCGGAAACGGUUGCUAUAACCGAAUAGUUCUUUGAACCGCAUGGUUUGACGUGGAAACGCGGUGCUACUUUCUCCUCUUGUAUGGUCCCGGGUUGAAUUAGUUAGUUGGUGGGGUAACGGCUCACCAAGGCAGCGAUGCUUAUCCGACCUGAGAGGGUGAUCGGCCACACUGGAACUGAGACACGGCCAAGACUCCUACGGGAGGCAGCAGUAGGGAAUCUUCGGCAAUGGGCGCAAGCCUGACGGAGCAACGCCGCGUGAGUGAUGAAGGUCUUCGGAUCGUAAAACUCUGUUGUUAGAGAAGAAAAAGUGUUUGAGUAACUGUUGACGUCUUGACGGUAUCGAAACAGAAAGCCACGGCUAACUACGUG